rnacentral:rRNA from 1 species
UGGGGAAUUUUGGACAAUGGGCGCAAGCCUGAUCCAGCAAUGCCGCGUGCGGGAAGAAGGCCUUCGGGUUGUAAACCGCUUUUGUCAGGGAAGAAAUCUCUUGAGCUAAUACCUCGGGGGGAUGACGGUACCUGAAGAAUAAGCACCGGCUAACUACGUGCCAGCAGCCGCGGUAAUACGUAGGGUGCGAGCGUUAAUCGGAAUUACUGGGCGUAAAGCGUGCGCAGGCGGUUGUGCAAGACAGAUGUGAAAUCCCCGGGCUCAACCUGGGAACCGCAUUUGUGACUGCACGGCUAGAGUGCGGCAGAGGGGGAUGGAAUUCCGCGUGUAGCAGUGAAAUGCGUAGAUAUGCGGAGGAACACCGAUGGCGAAGGCAAUCCCCUGGGCCUGCACUGACGCUCA